GGAUGCGAUCAUACCAGCACUAAAGCACCGGAUCCCAUCGGAACUCCGAAGUUAAGCGUGCUUGGGUGAGAGUAGUAUUAGGUUGGGUGACCUCCUGGGAAGUCCUCGUGUUGCAUCCCUCC
rnacentral:rRNA from 1 species